rnacentral:rRNA from 1 species
GACGAACGCUGGCGGCGUGCUUAACACAUGCAAGUCGAACGGUGAAGCGCCUUCCUUUUUGGUGGGUGUGGAUGAGUGGCGAACGGGUGAGUAACACGUGAGUAACCUGCCCCCUUCUUCUGGAUAACCGCAUGAAAGUGUGGCUAAUACGGGAUAUUCUGGGUCUGUCGCAUGAUGGGUCUGGGAAAGAUAUUGUUUCGGUGGGGGAUGGGCUCGCGGCCUAUCAGCUUGUUGGUGGGGUGAUGGCCUACCAAGGCGGUGACGGGUAGCCGGCCUGAGAGGGUGGACGGUCACACUGGACUGAGACACGGCCCAGACUCCUACGGGAGGCAGCAGUGGGGAAUAUUGCACAAUGGGCGCAAGCCUGAUGCAGCGACGCCGCGUGAGGGAUGGAGGCCUGCGGGUUGUGAACCCCUUUCGCCAGUGAAGCAGGCCUGCCUCGUUUGUGGGUGGGUUGACGGUAGCUGGAGAAGAAGCGCCGGCUAACUACGUG